rnacentral:lncRNA from 1 species
GCACAGGAAAUGAGGUGAUCAUUUACUAUGUUAAUUAAUUAAACACGAAGAUUAAAUACUUGUAAUGGAUAAUAUUGAAUGUCAACUUGAUUGGAUUGAAGGAUGCAAAGUAUCCUUCCUGGUCUGUGAGGGUGUUGCCAAAGGAGAUCAACAUUUGAGUCAGUGGACUGGGAGGGGCAGAUCCAUCCUCAAUCUGGGUGGGUGCCAUCUAAUCAUCUGCCAGCACAGCUAGAAUAAAGCAGGCAAGAGAGGAUGGAAGACCAGACUUGCGGAGUCUUCUGGCCUUCAUCUUUCUCCUGUGUUGGAUGCUUCCUACCAUCGAACAUCGGACUCCAAGUUCUUCAGCUUUUGGACUCUUGGACUUAAACUAGUGAUUUGCCAGGGGUUCUUGGGCCUUUGGCCACAGACUGAAGGCUGCACUAUCAGCUUCCCUACUUUUAAGGUUUUUGGACUUGACUGGCUUCCUUGCUCCUCAGCUUGCAGAUGACCUAUCGUAGGAUUUCACCUUGUCAUCAUAGAUAUAUCCAGCAAAAGAAGGUACACCAGACCUGGUUUAUUACCACAGAUGACCACAGAGGACAUUGAUGAUUCGUUCCUACCAUUGGUGAAAAUGUUCUUGCUGCAUGCUCUUCGACUCCAGUAUAGGUUAAAGACUGGGUCAAGGAUAUUUUUAUGUUACUCUUAUGUAGUGCCUUUGCUGUAAGCUAGGGGAGAUUAGAUAUUUGGUUGCCAUUUUUGUAAACUUGAGCAUGGUUCAUAUACUCACCUUAACAGUCAACAAAAUCUCUAUAGAAAUAGUCUGAGCCAUUUUUGCUUAUCAAUAUUUCUUGAGACUUUUUAAAAAUCACUUCUACUGAAGUUUUAUAAGAUACUACUUCAUAGAAAACCUAUAAAAAGACCAUUUAGACAUAGGGAAGAAGUGUCCAACUUUUCCAUGUUCAUAGUUCAAAGGACUUAAAGAAGCAUUUAAAUGACCCAGCUUUAAAAAUAUAGAUAGAUAGAUAGAUAAAUGAUGGUGACAAAGUGUAAAUAAUUUAUUUACAGGCAUGCUAUUAGUUGGGUCCAACCAGCAUUCCAGUCCAUAGCUACUAGGCUUAAAUUGAGCUAUUUGCCAUUUCUAAAUUCAUUUUAAUCAUUUUCUCUAUAAUAUGAAUAUUUCACAGUAUUUAUAAGCCAUUAAAACAGCACAUUCUACAAUGGGCAAAAAUAUAAUGUGUUCAAUUAUGUUCAACAAUAUCACUCUUUGUUCCUUUAAGGGUGUUACUUUAAGUCAAUUUAUCAAAAUUCAAUUUUAUUAGUUCUCAGAAAAAUCAUAGGCACAUUUACAUUUUAUAAUAAAUUAUCCUUCAAAUUAUCAACUUUAUCAUGUUAGAGAUUGUUUCCAUAUAUAAAAGCCUCUAUUACAAUUUGUAAAACUUCUAAAGGACUAUUUCAUGUAUCAUAAAAUAUUUUUACUGAAAUAACUAUAGAGUAAUGCCUUCCCUGAUUUUCAGAAUUCUGGUAAUAGAUUGAAGUUCAAAUGAUUUAUAGCAAUAUGUUCUAAUUUAUAGUUAUCCAUCAACAGAACCAAAUAAAAUAUAAAUUACUAAGAUAUUCUAUCAAAUAUAAUGCACUUAUAUUUAAGCACACUUAUAUUUAAUAUUCAAUGAAUCAUCACUUGCUGUAAUUUAUCUGAAAUGCUAAAUUUGAAUACAAAAAUAUAAACAAGUAUUGAUAAAUUUAUUCCCACUGAUUUACACUGUAAAAUCCAUAGUUAUACUCAUAAAAAGUUAUUUUAUUAUUUUCAGUGCUUGAGUAAUAAGAGGUUUUUAUCAGAUUCACUGUUUCCCCCAUGAAUAUGUCCAGAAAGUAAAGGAUAAAAUUAGUCAAUAGGAAAUAUCACCUGUUUGUGCCAGGAAACACAUGUAUGUAUUUUAUUAAUUACAACAAUUCUGCUAACUAGUACAGUAUUUUAAAUCCCAUUUCAUAGAUGGGAAAACUGAGGCUUAAAGAAAUGACAUUUCCAAUGUCAAACUCCUACUAAUUUUCAAUUCGACACUAAUUUUUCUCUAACACAUGUGUUCUUUUUCACUAGUAAUUUCUGUCUUUUCACCUUUUAAAUUUAAAAGAAUGUAAAAUAGUCAUACAUAAAUAUUACAGAUAUUGAAGAUGAUUAAGAUAUAUAACAAAAAAAGAACAGUUUUUAAAAUGUGGCAAAUAGAAGAAAUAUAUUAUUUAGCAGCUAUCAAAAAUCGAGAUCCCAUGACACAAAGUCAAGAUUUAACUUUGAAAUAAUCAUGACAGGCAAGUAGUUAGGGAUAUAGAGGACACAAGAUUCACCAUAUGCUUAAUAACUACCGAAGCUGAGCAAUGAGUACCUUAGGUUCAUUAAAUUAAUCUGUUUUUAUACAUGUUUGUAAUCCCCUAUCAUUAGAAAACAUGAGAUAAUUUGGGAUUACCAAGAACACUUACCGAUACAGGAAAAUCCUAUAUUACUAAAGGAAAAGUUAUGAUUGGUUUAUCUCUUUUUGAAUCUAUUUUAGGAAGGAAACAUACCAAAAGAUGUCUUAUAUCUGUGGCAUGAUAUAAUAGAACACAUAUUUUCUUUGUUUUUUUUCUAUUGUUUGUAUUACCCUGCACAUACAUUAUUGCUUUUUUACUCUGAAAAAUAAGCAUAAUUAAAAGCACCAAUUAUUGCAAUUUUUAUUUUAAAGUUUUUAAAUCUUGAAAAAGAAAUUGAGUAAAAUACAAAAUUUGCCAGGAUGAGCUUAUUAACUGAUUAAGAAUAAAAACCCCAAACUAUUUUAUAAUUGUCAUACAUUCAAGACAAUCAAUUUGUUUGAACCUUAAAGGUUAUUCUUGAAUAAAUUGUCUCAAGUUUGGAGUGUGUAUGUUUAACAUAUGAUAUUCAAGUUGUUGACUUUAUCUAAGUUAAUCUUAUUUUCUGAGUACAAAUAACAACUUGUUGAAAUGGUAUUAAAAAGAAAAUAUUGGCCAGGUGUGGUGGCUCAUGCCUGUAAUCCCUGCGCUUUGGGAGGCUGAGGCAGGCAGAUCGCUUGAGCCCAGGAGUUCAAGACCAGCCUGGGCAACAUAGCGAAACUCUGUCUCUACCAAAAAAAAAAAAAAAAAAAAAAAAAAAAAAAAAAAAAUCUGGGCGUGGUGGCACACAUCUGUAGUCCUAGCUACUUGGGAGGCUAAAGUGGGAGGGUCUCUUGAGCCUUGGAGUCAGAGGUUGCAGUGAGCCGAGAUCACACCACUGCACUCCAGCCCAAAUGUCAGAUAAGACCCUGUCUCAAAAAAAAAUUAAAAUUCAUUUAAUAAUUCACGUGAGGUUCAAAAAUCUACAAGAAAAUUAUGCAUUGUUAUCAAAAUUAUAGAGAGAAACAAUACAAAGAUGAUUCAUCAAUAUUGUAUGAACAUUUGUUCACUGCAUACCUGAACUUGUGUAAGUAAAAACAAUGCUACUUUAAAGAAAGACAAAUUACUUUGUCCAGGUAAAACUACUAGUUAAAAGAAUGUGAACAGAUUGCUUCAUGAUAUGAAAGGAAAAUACUGUUUUAAAAAUAAUCUCUGCAUUUGCAUCUGGGGAGAGUUUAUAACUACUAAUGUUUACUUUCAGCUAAAACAUAAUAAGUGAUGGAACUGUCAUUAAUGCUCUCCAAUGGUUUAUUACUAUUAUUGGCCAUUCUUCCUUCCCUUUUUAAUACCUUACUCUCUUGGGUGGGUCAAAUUAAGCUUCUUCAAACUCCAUCUCUCCCUUUGUGUUGUGUCCAACACUAAACAACAUCUUGAUUUUCCCAUGGUUCUCAGGGACCACUCUAGACAGUUUGCUUCAAUAUAAAUUGGACCUUUCUUCAAUGUCACAUGAAAAACGUAGCUGCAUAAUUUCCAUGGUUCAGGGCUCUAGUCUUCAUACUGAGAGGUAUAAAAGCAUCUUAUUUUAGAUUUUACUCCGUGUUUUAGAAGAAUCGAUGUUAACUUACCAUCUUAUGCUGUGAAAUGUAUAAUUUAUAAAUAAUUGACUGUACUUAUUAAUGGAUGUGGGGAUCUUAAAGUAUUGUCCUUUCCUUGAAAUUGAACAGGACAUUCCUUAAAAUUUAGUGUGGUAAAGGAGAAAAGGAAUUAUACUGCAAUAAAGAAUUUCAUGCAAAUAUGAACCUUGAAAGGGCACAAACAUUUCUUUAACCCAAAUAUAUGCUAGAUUUUGAUAGGAUGGUUGUGCUUGGGAAAAAAAUUGUAUCUAGUUGACCAUCUUCCAGACCCUGCACAAAUGCUGCUAUGAAUGAUAAUCAUGGUUGUUGCCAAGGUCACCUAAAAAAUGAUUUAUAGUCCCCUUUCCCCAAAAAUGUAUCAGCUGCUUACUUAGAAAAUUAGGUUUCUAUUCAGUUACGGCACCAAAUCACUUCUGCAUGAUUCUUCUAUUUUUCCUGUACACCAGAACUUGGAAAAUGUAUGUUUCUGCAAAUGUUUAUCCCCUUCUAAAUAGGAACGAUUGAAAAUAAUAAAAGUAUUUUAUAAUCUUAAAAUAAUU